rnacentral:rRNA from 1 species
GGGAAAGGCGAAAAGAACCCCGGCGAGGGGAGUGAAAAAGAACCUGAAACCGUGUACGUACAAGCAGUGGGAGCACGCUUAGGCGUGUGACUGCGUACCUUUUGUAUAAUGGGUCAGCGACUUAUAUUCAGUGGCGAGCUUAACUGAAUAGGGGAGGCGUAGCGAAAGCGAGUCUUAAUAGGGCGCUUUAGUCGCUGGGUAUAGACCCGAAACCGGGCGAUCUAUCCAUGGGCAGGUUGAAGGUUGGGUAACACUAACUGGAGGACCGAACC